AGCUCCAAUAGCGUAUAUUAAAGUUGUUGCAGUUAAAAAGCUCGUAGUUGGAUUUCUGAGAGGGUCGCAAUGUCAGCCUUCCGCGCUUGUGCAGCGGGGCCCCCUCAUCCUUCUGUUAACGCCUGUCGGCAUUCACUUGCCGCUGGCGGGCCCAGAUAUUUUACCUUGAGAAAAUUAGAGUGUUUCAGGCAGGCUAGGCCGGAAUACAUUAGCAUGGAAUAAUGGAACAGGACUACGGUCUCUUUGUUGGUUUGAGAGAUGGCAGUAAUGAUUAAUAGGGAUAGUUGGGGGCAUUAGUAUUUAAUUGUCAGAGGUGGAAUUCUCAGAUUUGUUAAAGACUAACCUAUGCGAAAGCAUUUGCCAAGGAUGUUUUCA
rnacentral:rRNA from 1 species